rnacentral:rRNA from 1 species
UACGGAGGGUGCAAGCGUUAUCCGGAUUCACUGGGUUUAAAGGGUGCGUAGGCGGCGCGGUAAGUCGGGUGUGAAAUCUUGGAGCUUAACUCCGAAACUGCAUUCGAUACUGCCGUGCUUGAGGACUGGAGAGGAGACUGGAAUUUACGGUGUAGCAGUGAAAUGCGUAGAUAUCGUAAGGAAGACCAGUGGCGAAGGCGAGUCUCUGGACAGUUACUGACGCUGAGGCACGAAGGCCAGGGGAGCAAACGGG